GGUCCUGCGUGAGGGGUGUAGGAUCUGGCCUGCCCAAUGAUUUAUUUAAUGGCCGCGGUAAUUUGACCGUGCAAAGGUAGCAUAAUCAUUAGUCCUUUAAUUGGGGUCUGGGAUGAAGGGUUGGACGAGAGAAGGGCUGUCUAGUUAGUAGUUUUAUUUUGAAUUUUACUUUUUAGUGAAAAGGCUGGAAUUUUCUUGGGGGACGAUAAGACCCUAUAGAUCUUUACAUUGUAAUGCAUAUAAAAGUUUGUUGGUGUGUUUUGUUGGGGUGACAGGAAGAUAUAAUGAACUCUUUUGUUAAUUUGUUACUGAUGGGUAUAUUUUUGGUCCUUAUAUUAAGAUUAUUAGAUUAAGUUACCUUAGGGAUAACAGCGUAAUCCUUUUUGAGAGUUCUUAUUGACAAAAGGGUUUGCGACCUCGAUGUUGGAUUAAGAGGGUUUUGUGGUGCAGAAGCUACAACGGAAGGUCUGUUCGACCUUUAAUUUCUUACA
rnacentral:rRNA from 1 species